rnacentral:rRNA from 1 species
CCUACGGGGGACUGCAGUGGGGAAUAUUGGACAAUGGGGGGAACCCUGAUCCAGCCAUGCCGCGUGUGUGAAGAAGGCCCUCGGGUUGUAAAGCACUUUCAGUGAGGAAGAACGCCUGGUGGUUAAUACCCAUCAGGAAAGACAUCACUCACAGAAGAAGCACCGGCUAACUCCGUGCCAGCAGCCGCGGUAAUACGGAGGGUGCGAGCGUUAAUCGGAAUUACUGGGCGUAAAGCGCGCGUAGGUGGCUUGAUAAGCCGGUUGUGAAAGCCCCGGGCUCAACCUGGGAACGGCAUCCGGAACUGUCAAGCUAGAGUGCAGGAGAGGAAGGUAGAAUUCCCGGUGUAGCGGUGAAAUGCGUAGAGAUCGGGAGGAAUACCAGUGGCGAAGGCGGCCUUCUGGACUGACACUGACACUGAGGUGCGAAAGCGUGGGUAGCAAACAGGAUUAGAUACCCGUGUAGUC